rnacentral:rRNA from 1 species
GCAAUGCUUCGGUUGCGCGGAUAAUGCAGGUAAGCUGACUGCCAAGAAAACCUGCUAAGCUUCAGGUAAUGAUCAUCCGUACUGUAAACGGACACACGUGAUCAGGUAGAAAAUACUAAGGCGCUCGAGAGAUUCAUGGUUAAGGAACUAGGCAAAAUGGUCCUGUAACUUCGGGAUAAAGGACGCUCUUGUGAAAGAGCCGCAGAUAAUAGGCCCAGGCGACUGUUUACCAAAAACACAUGGCUAUGCUAAUUCGCAAGAAGAUGUAUAUGGCCUGACACCUGCCCGGUGCCGGAAGGUUAAGAGGAGAGCUCAGAGGUAACUCGAAGGUUUGAAUUGAAGCCCCGGUAAACGGCGGCCGUAACAAUAACGGUCCUAAGGUAGCGAAAUUCCUUGUCGGGUAAGUUCCGACCUGCACGAAUGGUGUAACGAUCUGGGUACUGUCUCAACCAUGAGCUCGGUGAAAUUGUAGUUCCGGUGAAGAUGCCGGAUACCCGCAACGGGACGGAAAGACCCCGUGAACCUUUACUGCAGCUUUGCAUUGAUUUUGGGUAACAGAUGUGUAGGAUAGGUCGGAGGCUUUGAUGCUGCGUCGUCAGGCGUAGAGUAGCCGUCGUUGAAAUACGACCCUUUUGUUAUCUGAGGUCUAAUCCCGUUAGGGAGACAUUGCAUGGUGGGUAGUUUGACUGGGGUGGUCGCCUCCAAAAGUGUAACGGAGGCUUCUCAAGGUACCCUCAAGGCGUUUGGUAAUCGUCUGCAGAGUGCAAUGGCAUAAGGGUGCUUGACUGUGAGACCGACACGUCGAUCAGGUUGGAAACAAGAGCAUAGUGAUCCGGUGGUUCCGCAUGGAAGGGCCAUCGCUCAAAGGAUAAAAGGUACUCCGGGGAUAACAGGCUGAUCGCUCCCAAGAGCUCAUAUCGACGGAGCGGUUUGGCACCUCGAUGUCGGCUCGUCACAUCCUGGGGCUGGAGAAGGUCCCAAGGGUUCGGCUGUUCGCCGAUUAAAGUGGCACGCGAGCUGGGUUCAGAACGUCGUGAGACAGUUCGGUCCCUAUCUGUUGUGGGCGCAGGAUAUUUGAGGAGCUCUGACUCUAGUACGAGAGGACCGGGUUGGACAUACCUCUGGUGAAUCAGUUGUGUCGCCAGAUGCACUGCUGAGUAGCUAUGUAUGGAUUGGAUAAGCGCUGAAAGCAUCUAAGCGCGAAGCCAGCUUCAAGAUGAGAUAUCCUUACAGGGUCGUUCGAGAUGAGAACGUUGAUAGGUUGCAGGUGUAUAGUCGGUGACGGCACAGCCGAGCAAUACUAAUUACCAGAUCGGAAGAGCGU